UGAUGGAGGAGGAGAAGACAGCUGUUCUAGAAACAGUGAGAGAGAAAUGAUCAAGUUUAAUGCUUUCUGCCCUCAGACAAGAUUAAUAUCUCUUAAGUAUAUCUCUAGUUAAUAAACUGUGACAGAGUAGCCGAGUUUGGAUCCAGAAAAGACGUAAUGAUUGGGCUUCUUGUAAAUAAUGCUUUUUAAAAAGAAAGGCCAGGUAGGUCUCUACCAUUUUUGAAAACAAAUAGUUUAGGGACUAUCAGACGACUCUGAGUUUGUAAAAAGAAGUAAACAGUGCCAUCUACUGGACUGUAACUUCGACUUUUUUUUCCCAGAUGAUCUAAUGGUGUCCAUGUGUAAUCUAUAUAUGGGGAAACACAUUUGUUACUACUAUCCAUGAAGAUUUCAAACUACUUAAAGAUCGUUUUUCCUGUGUUUGUUUCUUAUAAAUACAUUCUAAAAGAAAUGACCAAUAAAAAUGGAACAAUUGCUUUGAAGGAACUUCCCUGUAAUGUUUUAGAAACCCUUUCUAAAAGGAAACUCCACUGUCCUGCAUAGAGGCAUCACCAGGUAAAACUUGAGAGAAAUCCCCACAGGUUUCUGGAGUAAUCCAUUCCAUCUGCUGAGCUGACGAGUCGCAUCUCUAACCUUAGUGUGAUCCACAUCCAGCACCCCCCCCAAAAAAAGCCUUUCGUUUCAAGGAAAAUGGGAAAGAGAAGCGUUCCUGGUGAGGGAGCCUCAGCUAUGCAGAAAGUCUGUCUAUACCACUCCCCUGUUAGAAAAAUGGUUUCUGUCAGUCUAGUUGUUGGCUGUUUGUGUUUCUUCCUUGUACUGUAAGACACCUUACCUGGGGAGCUCAUGAAGUAAACGUGUCCAUUGAGCUCAGUGUUGUAAGCAGAUGGCUCCAUUGGUUUACUCUCUUAUUAACUCCUCCUGGGCUAGGCAACACCAUAGCAGAUGUCGUCAUCAUGGGGGCAUCAGAGAGAGAUGGGUGCCCUAUGCUCUUUUCUUGUAUGUUGCUUUCAACAAGAUCAGUUGGACGUUUGUCAGGACCAGUAUCAACCCAUUCUAGAGACCUGAUUUGGAUACCAGUGGCUUCUUGAGUUGCUCAUCUGUUAAAGGCUUUGAUACUUUCCAACAAUGCCAUGUAAGGGACCAAGCUCAUAACACGUGACCCCUGAGAGUUGUGUGAAAACCAUAUUUGCAUCAUAGCAGACCUGGCUGUAUCAUCACCAGCUCUCUUCAUGGGAGAAUUCUAUGUGCUGGGGCACCUGCCUGUCUCUACCUGCUGUCAUCACACUCAUGCUCAAGAGGACUCAUUCAACACCCUGGACAGCACUUCUCAGGCUGUGGGCCUUGGUGUCAGCUUCACCUUGGGAGUUCACUGAAAUGAGGAAUUUGUAAUAUCCAAGCCCUUCUUAGUGCGUCAUGCCUCUCUGUCCUCUAAAGCUUUGUGCGUCCCCAGGCUCCAUGCCAGUGAGUCUGAGCCACUGGGAACCUGCCAGGCCAUCCUGGGGUAUCUCCAUCAUGGUCAGCUGCAGUUCUAGGGAAUCUUCAGAAUGUGUCUCCAAAGGCAGUCCUUGGACCAGGAAGUAUGGCGAGCGAGAUCUGUUGGCUGACUCCCCAGCCAAGACCUGCCCGUCCUCAUGGCCAGGUACAGCCCUUACAGACUCCUCAUCUACAAACUUCUUUCAUUCCCUGUCAGCUGAUUCCUUUCAUUGUCCCAAUCUUGAUGGGAAUUUUUUGUGGCAACUAAUCUCUUUCAGAAUGCCAGCUUUUAAUUAACUGGAGCCCACAGGGUAGCAGGUAAAGUCUGGAAACCCAAACAUCACGUUGUCAUGCACUGCUAUCUGCCAGUAGACAGGCCGGUCUGCAUCCAAUGCUGUGUUUUCAAACUUAUAGCUCCUUCUUCAGAUAAUGUGUCCCCUGCCUAUAAAAGCUCUGUUGUGGCAGAGAGCCCCCUGCGCUUGGGGCAAAGCACACUCUGAAGAGUAGGCAGCUGGGACUGCAAUUUGGUUAUUGAGUCUAUUGGGACUGGCAACUUCUACUCUCCUAGGAAACAUAGGUGCAUACAUUGAAAGACAGCAAAACAGGUGUAUCUCUAACUUCUCCUUACGGUAGCAAAGGUGCUCGUCCCCAGGGCCCAGGGCACCUCUAUAUACAGCUAGUUCAUUCAUGUGAGCACACUUUCAAGCGUAUCCGUACUAACAUCUUUUCUCCAAAGUCAUAACACAUACCUUCUGGGCUAGAACAUGGUCACAGACCACUUUAAAGUAGCUCUCAAGUUGUGUGAAGAUUUGCAGUCUUCAAGAUUUGUGUGAAGAUUUGGGGAGGAAGAGAACCAGGCUGACAAAAUACUGUCUCAAAAGAAAAAAGAGAGGCACAUAUAAUGUCACCUGAGGUUGUCAACUAACCUUUACAUGUGCACACAUACAAAUACAUGCACACGUGUGCAUGCACACACACACACACACUGCACACACACCACACAAACACACACACUGCACACAUACACACACAUACACACACACCACACACACACCAUACACACAAACACACACAUUGAACACACACACACUCACUCACACACACACAGCACACACACACACAGCACACACACACACUACACACACAUACACACAGCACACACACAAACCACACAAACACAUACACUGCACACACACACAUACCACACACACAUCACACAAACACACACUGCACACACACACUUACUCACACACCACACACACACACACACACACACACACACACGAGGUAAUCUGGGAGAGAAUACACCAUGAGCAUUAUUAUUCACUUUACAUUGAUGCUUUCCAACCCAAUGGACAUAUUCUUAUUAGAGAUAGGAACUGUCUUCCAUUUGUAUCUUCCAAUAAUUCACAUACAAGUACACAGUAAAUAUUAGCUCAUGUGAUGUGACUUUAUCCCUCACAUCUCCUCUCAGACAUAAUUUAUUAACAACAAUUUGUCAGCAUGCUCGCUAGCAUUGAUUAGCCAUUCAUAGAUACUCCACUUUGUGAACUAGGCAAGACAGAGUGACAGCCUGAAAGCCAGCCCCUGCUACUGUACUCAGUGCACAAUGAAAGUCCUGGAAACAGUGCAAAGUAGUAAGUUAGAAACAUGCAGGACUUUUGUGUCUUUGGAAGAUUUGUCACUGCAGAGUCACAAAGGGGAAAUGUCUCAGGUGACAGGCAUAGUCCCUUUCCACACCAAACCUUUCUUACUUGGAGAUCCGGCAGCCUCUUCUACUCCUCAGGAUGACCCAGCUGACUUUCCCUUACAUAGACCUGUCAGUCAAUCUCAUUCUUUGAACAUGCUCUGCCCAUUCUUCAUGGUGUCUCAAAGUCAUAGCCACGCCUUCUACCGAAUGGCCAGCGUAUCUGGUGCAGUGGAUCUCUGCUCUGGCUAUGCAUUAGAAGCAUAACUUUGUAAAGUGGUCAUGUUCAGGUUCCCUAAACAAGUUCGAGUUAUUUGGCCUGUAACUUUGCCAAGGACUUAAUGUUUUAAACAUGUUUCUGGGUAAUCCUAAUUACCCAGUGAAAAUGGAAAACACUCUACUUUCUGAUUUACAUUGUGCUCUGUUAAGGGAUCCUAUUUUGCCUUUCCCCUCACACUCGGCCCACAAUCCCAGCUGAAGGUUUGCAUGUUAAAAAUUAAUACAUGUGAGUUCAGUUAUUUACAAAAAUCAAACAGGGACAUAGACUGCCUGAAAUAAAAUAAAAUAAAUUAUAUAAACACAAUGAACAAUACAGUUACACUCUGACCUACUUUUGACAUCUUCUGGAAAUAACUAGAGUCCUUGGCUACUUUAAAGUUUCAAGGUUUGAGAUUCCCAAAACACGUUAAUGAACUUGCCUAGUUAAUGUAUAAAUUAUAAACUGGUGUGAAAGAAAAAGUUCCACUAAAACACAACCUUGAGACUUUCUGCCCACAUUCCCUGUCUUCCAAAGCAUUUCAGUCAACAUCUACUGUUGGUAAAAUGAAAGUUAGGAGAUGAGAUUCUUUUUUUUUUUAGGGGAAUGUGAGUUGGACAGAAUUUAGAGCCUUUCCUCCACAAUCAGAUGUCCUGCCCAGCCCAUGAUGAGGCCAGUGAUUGUGUCAAACUGGGUUACUGCCCACUUUGCGCCAUUGCCAGGAUUUUAGAUGUGAAUUUUUAUCGAGUACAAUAGCGUGGGAUAGCUCUCAGCCUCCCGCUAUAUCUUGCCUAGUACAUAAAGCGUCUGGGGUACUUGUGAAUGGCAAAUAAAUGUGUGUAUAAUGAAUUCAUUAGGAUAAAAUUACUCACAUUAAGAAAGAGUACCCUCCUAUAUAAUUUGAAAUCGCUUAAUUGCAUUCAACACUACUAGAACACUAAUAUUUUGGUCGGUAAUCAAUGGGAAUGAUAAUAGCAUAAAAUCUACAUGUCUAACAUCUAGUUUAUCAGUAAAAAUUAGCUAGUUUAGAAGGCAUAAUUUGUUUAUAAAAUGUGUUUUUGAAUCAUUCAAAGAAUGAACAUUUUUAUUUGCCAAUCUCACUGACCAGGCCUUUAUAAGUGCACAGGGAACUUUGCAAACAAUUGUAGAGGAAUUCCUAACUAACUGAAGGAUGUGUCUUGGGCAGGCACAUCAACUACUGACCUAAAGUCAGAGGACCAUUCCACGUUCCUAACGUCUACUUGUGCAAGCCAAGGAGAGCCAUUUCUUCCACCUGCUUUAUUCUUUAUAUCUUUCUAUUUUAAGAAUAAUUUUGUCAGAAUUUUCUAGGUUUGUAUUUUGUUGCCAUUCUAAGGUUUCAGAAAUGUGUAACUGAAAAAAAUCAAAAAGAUUUGGUAAGUCAGAAGGAGGAAAAGACAGGAGGCAUGGGUGUGGGGUUCGCCGGAGGUCCCCGACCUGCAGCUUUCUUUUUAAUUCAUGGGCUGAUUUGUGUGGUUGGUUCUCUUAGCUCUUUGCGGUUGACACAGUAGCACUUGACAACUAUUGAGAGACAAAAUGGAAGGCAGUGACACAGUUGCAUAAUAUGCUUCUAGGUGUGGAUUCUUGCUUCUUCACAACUGUUAUUAAUACUGGAUAAAUGCCCAGAUUUUUCCCUCCAGAGAAGAUCAAGAGAACAGAAAGUAGCUGUCAAGACAUGAUGAUCCUCUGCAGCCAUUACAAGGACAAGGGAAAGUCUAGAAUAUACCUGGUGAGCAGAGCCAGCUUUGUGACAAUUAGUAACUAACAGUGACUUGAAGUUUUCAGACUACUGAUGAAGUGAUAGGAAAUAAAGGGGGUAAGAAGGGCUGCAGGAAUGGAAGAGAAAAGAAUGAGUUUAGGAUGAGAGAAGAGGAAGCCAUUUCACUCUACCCCAUUCUAAGAUGGGUCCAGUGGUGUUGUCCUGCAAUCCUGACUACUCAGGAGGCUGACUGCAUCAGCUACAGGAGGAAGACAAGACCAGUUUAGGCAACCUAGACCCUGUCCCCAAAUUUAAAAAUACAGAAAAGGCUUGGACACAGCUUAGUGGCAGAGCUGUUGUUUAGCAUAUGUUCAAUCCCCAGUACCACAAAAAGAAACAAACAAAAAAUAUUUAUUCUUAAGUACCUGCAUGAAAAACUAGAUUUUCUUUGUUGGCUCUCAUAAUUUUUAAGGUUAUAAACUGGCUAGAAACAUCCCUUCAAGGCUAGGAGUGUCACUCAGCAGUUGGUUUGCUGUUCAUUGGUGUGCAUAACACAUUGGGGAUCAAUCCCUGGCUCUAAUACGUUGAUUGUUCAUGCCCGUAAUCCCAGUACAUGGGAGGUGGAGUUAAGAGAAAUCAGAGUUAAGAUCAUCCUCUGCUACAUAAGGAGUCAAGGCCAGCCUUAGAUACAUGCACUUGUAUCUUUCAGCUUCUUGAUGGGGAGGGGAAAUCAACUUGUUCUACAACUAUGGCAAUGUAGGCCAGCGAAUGUGUCACUGAUCUGAGAACCUUUAAGUACCAAGAGUGUACUGGGGGAGAGCCAGACAAGCAUCUCUGGGGUCUGUCUGUUGAAGUGAAAAGACUCAGCAGGAAAUCUAUGCAGCAUCACCAGGCCAGAGGAGGAGCCAAAGGAGAUGGGAAGUGGUCAUUUGGAAGACACCUAAAUAUGCAGAGGGGAGAAGAGAGACAACAUUUUCAUGACCUUCCAGAUGGGUUUCUGGAGCUCACGUUGUUCAAAGAAAGAACAGGCUACCAUAAGCAUUCCUCUGAAUUUGUAUUUUUGAGGCAUGGUCUUGUUAGGUAGCCCUGGCUGGCUCACGCUUUACAGAUUUGAAAAGUCUGAGGCCAGGAGCACCAUAGUAAAAUGGCUGACUGCGUAUCAGAGGCAAGGACGCUGGAUGGUAUGUCUUACACAACUUGUCAACUCCUUAACACAAGUCAUAUAUGGAGAGUUUGAGGUCAUAUCCAGUGACCAUAGAAGCAACUUGGGAAAAGCCCUCACUGGUCAAAGACAGGGCUACUUGAACAUUAAUCAUUGUUGUCACUGUUGUCAUCAUCAUCAACACCAUCAUCAUCUCAUUGGUUAAAAUGCCAAGUCUAUAAAAUUAAUGAGGUUAUAUCAUGUUUUAAAACUAUGACAUAUUAUACAUGUAUGUUGUUAGAACAUGAUCAUAUUAUCUGAAAACUGGAAAUUAAGGUGAAAGAAUAAAGUAUGAAUUGUGUUCCUCUUAUAGGAAGCAUGUUUCCAUCUAACUAAAGAGUAGAUAAAGCAAAAAAAAUUUUGGCCAUACUGGUGGUUGAACCUAGACUUUUGAUCAUGCAAGGGAAGUGACCUCCAUUUACUCUAGGCUUCACUAAGUCGCGCAGGCUGGCUUUGAGAGCUUUCUGUAGUCCAGGAAAGCCAAGAACAGAAGAUCUUCCUGCCUCAGCCUCCAUGUAGUUGAGAUUACAGGUCUGUGCCAUCAGACCUGGCUACCACAGCAAAUAAAGCAGUUCUCCUCUCUGAACUGGGAAUAUUUAUUGUCUACCUCAUAAUAUCAUUGUAGCACAUUGUAAUGCUCAGCAAAUGUUAGCUUUCACGAUGACUCUUUUGGAAGAGUUCUCUCUCUGUAUAUAUAACAUCUCUGAACAUGUUAUAUAAUAAAACUACAUUUUCUAGAAGAAUGCAUAUUGAUCCAUAUUUAUUCUUUUGUACAAAGCUCAAGUUCAAGUAGAUCAAGGACCUCCAUAUAAAACCAGAUACAAUGAAUCUUAUAAAAGAGAAAGUGGGAAACGGCCUUAAACACAUCGACACAAGAGGAAACUUCCUGAACAGAACACCAAUGGCUCACACUCAAAGACCAAUAAUUGAUCAAUGGUAGGUACCUCAUGAAACUGAAAAGCUUCUGUAAGGCAAUACUGUCAAUAGGACAAAACAGCAACCUACAGAUUGGGGGGAAAAACCUUCACUAACCCUACACUCCAUAGAGGGCUAAUAUCCAAAAUAUUCAAAGAUCUCAAGAAGUUAGACUACAAACAAAAACAAAACAAAGCAAAGCAAAAAAAAACUAAUAAAAACAACAACGAAUACCCCAAUUUAAAAAUGGAGUAAAAAGCUAAACGGAGCAGUCUCAACAGAGGAGUCUUGAAUGGCUGAGAAGCACUUAAAGAAAUGUUCAACAAUUUAGUCAUCAGGGAAAUACAAAUCAAAAUGACCCGAGAUUCCACCUUAUACCAAACAGAAUGGCUAUGAUCAAAAACUCAAGAACAGUACAUGCUGGUGAAGAUGUGGAGAAAGAGGAAUACUUCUCCAUUGCUGUGGGAUUGCAAACUCGUACAACCACUGUGGAAAUCAAUCUGGUGGUUCCUCAGAAAAUUGGAAAUAGCUCUCUACCUGAAGACCCAGGUAUACCACUCCUGUGAACGUACCCAACAGAUGCUCGGCCAGCCCACAAACACUUCCUCUACUAUGUUUAUAGCUGCCUUAUUUGUAAUAAACAGAAGCUGGAAACAACUCAGAUGUCCCUCAACUGAAGAAUGAAUACAGAAAUGUGGUUCAUUUACACAAUGGAAUACUAUCCAACUAUUAAAAAUGAGGACAUUAUGAAUUUUCCAGGCAAAUGGAUGGAACUAGAAAUUAUCCUGAGUGAGAUAACCCAGACUUAGAAGCACACACAUGCUAUGUACCAUUAAGUGGGUAUUAGCCAAAAAGUUCAGAAUACCCACAAUUUAACUCACAGACUGUAGGAAGCUUAACAAGGAGGAAGACCCAAGUGUGAAUAUCUGAAACCCACUUAGAAGGGGAACAAAAGAAUCA